rnacentral:rRNA from 1 species
UACGAAGGGGGCUAGCGUUGUUCGGAAUUACUGGGCGUAAAGGGCGCGUAGGCGGCGUGUCAAGUCAGGCGUGAAAGCCCCGGGCUCAACCUGGGAACCGCGCUUGAGACUGGCAUGCUCGAGUUCGGGAGAGGAGCGUGGAAUUCCCAGUGUAGAGGUGAAAUUCGUAGAUAUUGGGAAGAACACCGGUGGCGAAGGCGGCGCUCUGGACCGAGACUGACGCUGAGGCGCGAAAGCGUGGGGAGCAAACAGG